rnacentral:rRNA from 1 species
CUACGGGACGCUCCAGUCGAGAAUCUUCCGCAAUGGACGAAAGUCUGACGGAGCGACGCCGCGUGCGGGAUGAGGGCCUUCGGGUUGUAAACCGCUGUCAGUGGGGAGGAAAUGCAUCAGGGUUCUCCCUGGUGUUUGACCGAUCCGCAGAGGAAGCGCAGGCUAAGUUCGUGCCAGCAGCCGCGGUAACACGAACUGCGCGAACGUUAUUCGGAAUCACUGGGCUUAAAGAGUUCGUAGGCGGCCUUUCAAGUCGGGUGUGAAAUCCCUCGGCUCAACCGAGGAAUUGCGCCUGAUACUGUUGGGCUUGAGGGGGAUAGGGGUGAGCGGAACUGAUGGUGGAGCGGUGAAAUGCGUUGAUAUCAUCAGGAACACCGGUGGCGAAGGCGGCUCACUGGAUCUCUUCUGACGCUGAGGAACGAAAGCUAGGGGAGCGAACGGGAUUAGAUACCCGUGUAGUC